rfam:Ovis aries breed Texel unplaced genomic scaffold TnplacedScaffold_004083056.1, whole genome shotgun sequence.
UCCCUGGUGGCUCAGAGGUUAAAGCGUCUGCCUCCAAUGCAGGAGACCCAGGUUCGAUCCCUGGGUCGGGAA